rnacentral:rRNA from 1 species
AAUGGGUCAGCGACUUAUAUUCUGUAGCAAGGUUAACCGAAUAGGGGAGCCGAAGGGAAACCGAGUCUUAACUGGGCGUUAAGUUGCAGGGUAUAGACCCGAAACCCGGUGAUCUAGCCAUGGGCAGGUUGAAGGUUGGGUAACACUAACUGGAGGACCGAACCGACUAAUGUUGAAAAAUUAGCGGAUGACUUGUGGCUGGGGGUGAAAGGCCAAUCAAACCGGGAGAUAGCUGGUUCUCCCCGAAAGCUAUUUAGGUAGCGCCUCGUGAAUUCAUCUCCGGGGGUAGAGCACUGUUUCGGCAAGGGGGUCAUCCCGACUUACCAACCCGAUGCAAACUGCGAAUACCGGAGAAUGUUAUCACGGGAGACACACGGCGGGUGCUAACGUCCGUCGUGAAGAGGGAAACAACCCAGACCGCCAGCUAAGGUCCCAAAGUCAUGGUUAAGUGGGAAACGAUGUGGGAAGGCCCAGACAGCCAGGAUGUUGGCUUAGAAGCAGCCAUCAUUUAAAGAAAGCGUAAUAGCUCACUGGUCGAGUCGGCCUGCGCGGAAGAUGUAACGGGGCUAAACCAUGCACCGAAGCUGCGGCAGCGACGCUUAUGCGUUGUUGGGUAGGGGAGCGUUCUGUAAGCCUGCGAAGGUGUGCUGUGAGGCAUGCUGGAGGUAUCAGAAGUGCGAAUGCUGACAUAAGUAACGAUAAAGCGGGUGAAAAGCCCGCUCGCCGGAAGACCAAGGGUUCCUGUCCAACGUUAAUCGGGGCAGGGUGAGUCGACCCCUAAGGCGAGGCCGAAAGGCGUAGUCGAUGGGAAACAGGUUAAUAUUCCUGUACUUGGUGUUACUGCGAAGGGGGGACGGAGAAGGCUAUGUUGGCCGGGCGACGGUUGUCCCGGUUUAAGCGUGUAGGCUGGUUUUCCAGGCAAAUCCGGAAAAUCAAGGCUGAGGCGUGAUGACGAGGCACUACGGUGCUGAAGCAACAAAUGCCCUGCUUCCAGGAAAAGCCUCUAAGCAUCAGGUAACAUCAAAUCGUACCCCAAACCGACACAGGUGGUCAGGUAGAGAAUACCAAGGCGCUUGAGAGAACUCGGGUGAAGGAACUAGGCAAAAUGGUGCCGUAACUUCGGGAGAAGGCACGCUGAUA